rnacentral:other from 1 species
UGGUCUCUGCUGCGUGCGUGGCGUCUGAGAAAGUUUUGAGCCUACACCACACACUGAGGGAGUCCAACUCCCAUUCGGGAUGCCCUUUUCCGAUACCCUCACGGGUUGUUGGCGCAAGCCAAGACGGAAACGGCACGAGGAUUGGGAGCGGCGCCCACCUGCUUUUUAGCGGGUUCAACAACUUGACGAGGCACGGCGUGGCGGAGAUUUU